AAACUGGAGAGUUUGAUUCUGGCUCAGAACAAACGCUGGCGGCGUGCCUAAUACAUGCAAGUCGAACGGGGAAAGCUUUCGGGUGAGUACUAGUGGCGCACGGGUGAGUAACACGUGGGUAAUCUGCCUUAGAGUGGGGGAUAACCAGUCGAAAGAUUGGCUAAUACCGCAUAAGACCACAAGAUCUGCGGAUCAAGAGGUCAAAGGUUUUUCGCUCUAAGAUGAGCCCGCGUAAGAUUAGCUAGUUGGUGAGGUAAUGGCUCACCAAGGCGACGAUCUUUAACUGGUCUGAGAGGAUGAUCAGUCACACUGGAACUGAGACACGGUCCAGACUCCUACGGGAGGCAGCAGUAGGGAAUAUUGCACAAUGGAGGAAACUCUGAUGCAGCGACGCCGCGUGAGUGAUGAAGGACUUCGGUUCGUAAAGCUCUGUUGCAAGGGAAUAAAAAAAUGAAUGUACCUUGUGAGGAAGGGUCGGCUAACUUCGUGCCAGCAGCCGCGGUAAGACGAGGGACCCUAGCGUUGUUCGGAAUCAUUGGGCGUAAAGCGGGUGUAGGUGGCUUUGUAAGUCAGGUGUGAAAUCCCUGGGCUCAACCCAGGACGUGCAUUUGAUACUGCGAAGCUUGAGUGCCGGAGAGGUUACUGGAAUACCUGGUGUAGUGGUGAAAUACGUAGAUAUCAGGUGGAACACCGGAGGCGAAGGCGGGUAACUGGCCGGACACUGACACUCAGACCCUAAAGCGUGGGGAUCAAACAGGAUUAGAUACCCUGGUAGUCCACGCCGUAAACGAUGGAUACUUGUUGUUGGAGGUAUUGACCCCUUCAGUGACGC
rnacentral:rRNA from 1 species